rnacentral:piRNA from 1 species
UGGGCUUUCCUAUGUUGCGUUCUCGG